rnacentral:rRNA from 1 species
CACUGAGAAAGCACCGGUUCUCGUCCGAUCACCGAAGUUAAGCUCAGUAG